AUUGAACGCUGGCGGCAGGCCUAACACAUGCAAGUCGAAUGGUAACAGGAAACAGCUUGCUGUUUCGCUGACGAGUGGCGGACGGGUGAGUAAUGUCUGGGAAACUGCCUGAUGGAGGGGGAUAACUACUGGAAACGGUAGCUAAUACCGCAUAACGUCGCAAGACCAAAGAGGGGGACCUUCGGGCCUCUUGCCAUCAGAUGUGCCCAGAUGGGAUUAGCUAGUAGGUGGGGUAACGGCUCACCUAGGCGACGAUCCCUAGCUGGUCUGAGAGGAUGACCAGCCACACUGGAACUGAGACACGGUCCAGACUCCUACGGGAGGCAGCAGUGGGGAAUAUUGCACAAUGGGCGCAAGCCUGAUGCAGCCAUGCCGCGUGUAUGAAGAAGGCCUUCGGGUUGUAAAGUACUUUCAGCGGGGAGGAAGGGAGUAAAGUUAAUACCUUUGCUCAUUGACGUUACCCGCAGAAGAAGCACCGGCUAACUCCGUGCCAGCAGCCGCGGUAAUACGGAGGGUGCAAGCGUUAAUCGGAAUUACUGGGCGUAAAGCGCACGCAGGCGGUUUGUUAAGUCAGAUGUGAAAUCCCCGGGCUCAACCUGGGAACUGCAUCUGAUACUGGCAAGCUUGAGUCUCGUAGAGGGGGGUAGAAUUCCAGGUGUAGCGGUGAAAUGCG
rnacentral:rRNA from 1 species